rnacentral:rRNA from 1 species
UGGGGAAUAUUGGACAAUGGGGGGAACCCUGAUCCAGCCAUGCCGCGUGUGUGAAGAAGGCCUUAUGGUUGUAAAGCACUUUAAGCGAGGAGGAGGGUACUGGUAUUAAUACUACCAGGUACUGGACGUUACUCGCAGAAUAAGCACCGGCUAACUCUGUGCCAGCAGCCGCGGUAAUACAGAGGGUGCGAGCGUUAAUCGGAUUUACUGGGCGUAAAGCGUGCGUAGGCGGCUAAUUGAGUCGGAUGUGAAAUCCCCGAGCUUAACAUGGGAAUUGCAUUCGAUACUGGUUAGCUAGAGUGUGGGAGAGGAUGGUAGAAAUCCAGGUGUAGCGGUGAAAUGCGUAGAGAUCUGGAGGAGUACCGAUGGCGAAGGCAGCCAUCUGGCCUAACACUGACGCUGAGGUACGAAAGCAUGGGGAGCAAACAGG